CUUGUCUCCUAUGUCGUUGGUGUCCGUCCACGAUUCAUUCCACAUUUCUUUAGUCUUAAUUAUCCAGCUUUGACGUCCGUCUCCUGUAAGUGAGAAUUGAAUCAUUUGGGGUGGAAUGCACUAUUAUGCUUCCCGCAGACGGCUCUCGCGUGCCUCUCCUGUAAACUGGAAAUUGGGAGAGAUUGUGUCCCCCGUCAAGAUUUUCCUCACUUCCUUUCCUGUCGCAGACUCAAAUGUGUGGACGGUGUCAUCUUCUUGGCUCCUAAGGUGAGCGUCCAGCAAGCCAAGUGGGUGAAUGUUCCAAUACUUCACCUUUUCCUGGAAAGUUAGUUCGCCUGGGCCUGAUGACAAACAGCAGUGGUCAACUGCCAAACCCAUAUUCCUUGUAAUGCCACAAAGUACAAACAGCAGUCGAGAACAUGUUCAGUGAAGCAGCUGCAUCCAUCCUACUGUGGUUGGCUUACUGCAAUCAAAUAAAGAAAGAGGAUAUAGCCAAGUAUUCCCCUGCCUUUAUCAAGCAAUACCCAAAAAAAAAAAAAAGGUAAUAUAGGAUUAAAUCCCUUUCACAGCAUUAGCCUUUCGAGAGCUCCCAGAGUUUCAAUCCUCUUCUUUCCGAGUAUCAGCUGAGAACGCCCUCUCUUUCUUUCUUUGUCUAUAUAUAUCUACACAUGAAUUUUAGUUUAUUUAUAUGGUUUAAUUGCUUGAGUUAUUUUUUGUUCGGAAAUAUAUCUAUGCUGAUGAAGCAAAUGAAAAGUCUGGUGAUUGGGAU